UACAGGGGGUGCAAACGUUGCUCGGAAUUAUUGGGCGUAAAGCGCGCGUAGGCGGCCUUUUAAGUCGGAUGUGAAAGCCCUCGGCUCAACUGGGGAAGUGCACCCGAAACUGAAAGGCUUGAGUACUGAAGAGGGUCGCGGAAUUCCCAGUGUAGAGGUGAAAUGCGCAGAUAUCAGGAGGAACACCGGUGGCGAAGGCGGUUCUCUGGGCCUUACCUGACGCUGAGGAGCGAAAGCAUGGGGAGCAAACAGG
rnacentral:rRNA from 1 species